rnacentral:rRNA from 1 species
GAUGAACGCUGGCGGCGUGCCUAAUACAUGCAAGUCGAGCGAACGGACGAGAAGCUUGCUUCUCUGAUGUUAGCGGCGGACGGGUGAGUAACACGUGGAUAACCUACCUAUAAGACUGGGAUAACUUCGGGAAACCGGAGCUAAUACCGGAUAAUAUUUUGAACCGCAUGGUUCAAAAGUGAAAGACGGUCUUGCUGUCACUUAUAGAUGGAUCCGCGCUGCAUUAGCUAGUUGGUAAGGUAACGGCUUACCAAGGCAACGAUGCAUAGCCGACCUGAGAGGGUGAUCGGCCACACUGGAACUGAGACACGGUCCAGACUCCUACGGGAGGCAGCAGUAGGGAAUCUUCCGCAAUGGGCGAAAGCCUGACGGAGCAACGCCGCGUGAGUGAUGAAGGUCUUCGGAUCGUAAAACUCUGUUAUUAGGGAAGAACAUAUGUGUAAGUAACUGUGCACAUCUUGACGGUACCUAAUCAGAAAGCCACGGCUAACUACGUGCCAGCAGCCGCGGUAAUACGUAGGUGGCAAGCGUUAUCCGGAAUUAUUGGGCGUAAAGCGCGCGUAGGCGGUUUUUUAAGUCUGAUGUGAAAGCCCACGGCUCAACCGUGGAGGGUCAUUGGAAACUGGAAAACUUGAGUGCAGAAGAGGAAAGUGGAAUUCCAUGUGUAGCGGUGAAAUGCGCAGAGAUAUGGAGGAACACCAGUGGCGAAGGCGACUUUCUGGUCUGUAACUGACGCUGAUGUGCGAAAGCGUGGGGAUCAAACAGGAUUAGAUACCCCGGUAGUCCACGCCGUAAACGAUGAGUGCUAAGUGUUAGGGGGUUUCCGCCCCUUAGUGCUGCAGCUAACGCAUUAAGCACUCCGCCUGGGGAGUACGACCGCAAGGUUGAAACUCAAAGGAAUUGACGGGGACCCGCACAAGCGGUGGAGCAUGUGGUUUAAUUCGAAGCAACGCGAAGAACCUUACCAAAUCUUGACAUCCUUUGACAACUCUAGAGAUAGAGCUUUCCCCUUCGGGGGACAAAGUGACAGGUGGUGCAUGGUUGUCGUCAGCUCGUGUCGUGAGAUGUUGGGUUAAGUCCCGCAACGAGCGCAACCCUUAAGCUUAGUUGCCAUCAUUAAGUUGGGCACUCUAAGUUGACUGCCGGUGACAAACCGGAGGAAGGUGGGGAUGACGUCAAAUCAUCAUGCCCCUUAUGAUUUGGGCUACACACGUGCUACAAUGGACAAUACAAAGGGCAGCGAAACCGCGAGGUCAAGCAAAUCCCAUAAAGUUGUUCUCAGUUCGGAUUGUAGUCUGCAACUCGACUACAUGAAGCUGGAAUCGCUAGUAAUCGUAGAUCAGCAUGCUACGGUGAAUACGUUCCCGGGUCU